rnacentral:snRNA from 1 species
UUUGAAUCCAAUUUUGGGA